rnacentral:rRNA from 1 species
CAAGCGGUGGAGCAUGUGGUUUAAUUCGACGCAACGCGAAGAACCUUACCUGGGCUCGAACGGCUUUGGACGAUCUUUGGAAACAGAGAUUUUCCCGCAAGGGACUGAAGUCGAGGUGCUGCAUGGCUGUCGUCAGCUCGUGUCGUGAGAUGUUGGGUUAAGUCCCGCAACGAGCGCAACCCUUGUCCUGUGUUGCAACUAAUAGGCACUCUCAGGAGACCGCCAGCGAUAAGCUGGAGGAAGGUGGGGAUGACGUCAAGUCAUCAUGGCCUUUAUGUCCAGGGCUACACACGUGCUACAAUGGGCGGUACAGACCGCUGCAAACCCGCGAGGGGGAGCAAAUCGGAAAAAACCGUUCUCAGUUCGGAUUGCAGGCUGCAACUCGCCUGCAUGAAGCUGGAAUCGCUAGUAAUGGCAUAUCAGAACGAUGCCGUGAAUACGUUCCCGGGCCUUGUACACACC